CUAGUGGCCUUGGUACCGCUGUCCAUCUUAGCUUCACUGGUAUUCUAAAGGCUCCGGGCCAACUAAUAUCCUCACUUUCUUGUUUGGGACACGGGGGCGGAUCUUAGUCACCAAGUUUUGGCCCCUUGCUCACCCCUGGGCUCUGGGAGAAGUGCAAGGGUCAAAGGGAGUGUGGGGUCAGGAGAUCAGGGAAGAUCCUGGCGGUAAGAGCCCUGGGAAGUGGGCUGAGAUGCCUUGGGGCCAGGGGUGGGUGGCCUUGACCUGGGCGGUUCAAGGGCUGAAGGGCUAAGUACCAGAACUGGCUCUGUCCUGACCACUUUCAGAUGGCUGGUGUCUCCUCUCCACGGUAAACUGCAUACCAAUGGGGAGAGAAGAGGUGAGAAAUAAAAACAGUGCCUGUCCUAUUAGUAAAACAAAGGCUAUCAGCAGCAGACCCAGAUUGCAGCCACACCCACACCCCACCCCCUGCCUUGGGGAGUGGGCCCUAGGGAACUCUGGAGGGAAACAAAGAAUACCUGCCCUCUGCAGACAUUAGGCUGCAGCCAUUAGGCUGCAGGGGAAAACAGGACACUGGCCCCCAGUGGCUGAGGUGCACAUCAAAAGAGUGAUUUCAUCGGAGCCCAGACCUGGCAUCUUCCCAUUCACAGAAAAACUGAAUUCCUUAACUUGACCCAUCUAGUUUUCUUUUAUUAACAGUAAUCUUUUGUUCUGACUACCUGCCUUUUGUUGCAAAAUCCCUAUACAUCCUCUACCCCCUCGCCUCCGUGGAGCAGUUUUCUCAGGGUUAUUUGAGAUGCUGCCUCCCUCGGGCCUGAAGUCCUAAGAAGGUUUGGUGAAUAAAACUUUCAACUCUCAACUUUUAGGUUGUGCAGGGGGUUUCGUGUGUAUGUGUGUUUGGUUUUUUUGUUUUUUUUCUUUUCAGCUGACAGCUUCCACAGCCAAACUCCCUGCAGUCAGAGUGAUGGCUCCUUCCCACUUUGCAGAGGAGGUGGGCUGGGUGGGGUUAGGGAGGCCUCUCUUGUUCGGGCUUUGCCCAUCUGGGAGGUAUUCCUUGGGCAGGUUCCCUUACCUUUAGGCUAAAAGUCGCAUUAACGGUCCCUAGCAUUCCUGGGAGCUGGGCCUCCAGAAGCUGUGUGGGCCCAGAAGUACCUUGCCUCUGGGUGCGGGUGGCCGAUUUGGAGCCUCUGGUGAGGCCAAAGGACACACACACACACACACACACUGUCCGGCCCAAAGUGAGGGAGGCGCCGCCUGCCAACACCCAGGGCACCUCU
rnacentral:lncRNA from 1 species